UCCGGGGUUUCAAGGCCGAGAGCUGAUGACGAGUCGUCUUUUAGAUGACGAAGUGGUUGAUGCCAUGCUUCCAAGAAAAGCUUCUAAGCUUCAGGUAACCAGGAACCGUACCCCAAACCGACACAGGUGGUCGGGUAGAGAAUACCAAGGCGCUUGAGAGAACUCGGGUGAAGGAACUAGGCAAAAUGGCACCGUAACUUCGGGAGAAGGUGCGCCGGCUAGGGUGAAGGAUUUACUCCGUAAGCUCUGGCUGGUCGAAGAUACCAGGCCGCUGCGACUGUUUAUUAAAAACACAGCACUCUGCAAACACGAAAGUGGACGUAUAGGGUGUGACGCCCGCCCGGUGCCGGAAGGUUAAUUGAUGGGGUUAGCGCAAGCGAAGCUCUUGAUCGAAGCCCCGGUAAACGGCGGCCGUAACGAUAACGGUCCUAAGGUAGCGAAAUUCCUUGUCGGGUAAGUUCCGACCUGCACGAAUGGCGUAACGAUGGCGGCGCUGCCUCCACCCGAGACUCAGUGAAAUUGAAAUCGCUGUGAAGAUGCAGUGUAUCCGCGGCUAGACGGAAAGACCCCGUGAACCUUUACUGUAGCUUUGCACUGGACUUUGAGCCUGCUUGUGUAGGAUAGGUGGGAGGCUUUGAAGCGUGGACGCCAGUUCGCGUGGAGCCAUCCUUGAAAUACCACCCUGGCAUGCUUGAGGUUCUAACUCUGGUCCGUAAUCCGGAUCGAGGACAGUGUAUGGUGGGCAGUUUGACUGGGGCGGUCUCCUCCUAAAGAGUAACGGAGGAGUACGAAGGUGCGCUCAGACCGGUCGGAAAUCGGUCGCAGAGUAUAAAGGCAAAAGCGCGCUUGACUGCGAGACAGACACGUCGAGCAGGUACGAAAGUAGGUCUUAGUGAUCCGGUGGUUCUGUAUGGAAGGGCCAUCGCUCAACGGAUAAAAGGUACUCCGGGGAUAACAGGCUGAUACCGCCCAAGAGUUCAUAUCGACGGCGGUGUUUGGCACCUCGAUGUCGGCUCAUCACAUCCUGGGGCUGAAGCCGGUCCCAAGGGUAUGGCUGUUCGCCAUUUAAAGUGGUACGCGAGCUGGGUUUAGAACGUCGUGAGACAGUUCGGUCCCUAUCUGCCGUGGACGUUUGAGAUUUGAGAGGGGCUGCUCCUAGUACGAGAGGACCGGAGUGGACGAACCUCUGGUGUUCCGGUUGUCACGCCAGUGGCAUUGCCGGGUAGCUAUGUUCGGAAAAGAUAACCGCUGAAAGCAUCUAAGCGGGAAACUUGCCUCAAGAUGAGAUCUCACUGGGAACUUGAUUCCCCUGAAGGGCCGUCGAAGACUACGACGUUGAUAGGCUGGGUGUGUAAGCGUUGUGAGGCGUUGAGCUAACCAGUACUAAUUGCCCGUGAGGCUUGACC
rnacentral:rRNA from 1 species